rnacentral:lncRNA from 1 species
CAAAAAUCAGUUUGGGAAAUAGAGACACUUGAAUGAAUGGAUUUUGAGAUAAAAAUCUGUCUUGUCAUCCUCCUGAGGUGGAGCAGAUUGCAUUUUCCAGCUGAG